GGAGUAGGCCGCCAGGGACGUGCCCUGGACGUCGAGGAUCGCCCCGGCCGCGAUGGUCACGGUGUGGGUCCCCGGGCCGAAGGGGCCGGGCAGGGUGAACGUCAGCGUGUCGCCGUCGGUCAGGGUGACGGCGGUGGCGGCGAUGCCGUCGAUCCGCAGGUCGGACGCCUGCACGCUGGUCGUCAGGUAGGCGUCGUUGAAAUUGACGACCAUGGUGGUCGGCGAGGUCAGCAGCACCGCCCCGUUGGCCGGGGUGGUGGUCGUCACCUGGAAGGCCGGCGCCGUGACCGUGU
rnacentral:misc_RNA from 1 species